AGCAGCGCUCAGGACACCAGCCAGGUAGGGAUACCUGCGAGCCAGGCAGACCACGGGUCAGGCUCCUGGGACGAGAGGACACGUGGACAGGUGUCUACGGCAACAGGUGAACGAUCGGCUCCAGUAGGACUUCUGCAAGGGUGUGGAGGCCACCCACUACAUAAUGCAGGUGACUACUUGGGAUUGGCCUGCCCCUCUCAACCAUCGUCCGGGCCUAGGCCACACCAAGACAUGGUUCCCUGUCCCGGAUCUGCCGCGAGGGAGCGGGAGGAGCUUGCCGUCUCACAGCUUUGGGCACCCAGCGCAAGCCAUCCUGAAGUGGCUGUCCUCGUCCGGCACCAGCUCCGAGGAGCUGUGCAACACGGCGUUUGCAGGCGCGAAGCUGACCCUGCGGCUCCCAGCUGCGCUGAGGAAGGCGAGUCCUCGGCCGAGGGCGGGACUCCGCGCUGAGUGCGCACGUGGUGCUUCCGGUUCCUCACGCCGCGGGCGCCAUCUAGGCUGGCCGUGCCUGUGCCGAAGUGGGUUACUUCCGCCUCCGUGGCUGGAGGCCUAGGGCUCACGGCCGUUCCUUUCGCCUUCUUCCCCAUUUUCCUUCUCUGGAAGCCGAAGCCCAUCUCGGCCCGCUGCCCUUGCUAGCUGUGCUCUGAGUGGAGAAGGGCCGCCCGGAGAGCAUGCCGGAGAGCAGGGACGCGGGGCUCCUCCGAGAACACCCCAGUGCUUGCCACUAGCCGCGGGACUCCAGAAGAAGGUGGCAGAGGGGAUACCCGAGUGAAGGCCGGGCCAGGAGCUGCAGACGCACCUGGCGAGGCCCUGCGCCUGGGUGGAUGGAAACUGGAUGGAUGGAAACACAGCCAGAACGGUUCUUAGUUCAAAAGACGCCGAGGGGAGCCUACUCUGUGAUCAUGUGUGAUGUGCCACCUGGAGACAAUUAUUCAUCAAAUGCCAGCUCAAGUGCCACUUCCUCUGAGAGCCGCUCACUAUUCUGCAUUUCUGCUUCCUCUGGGCUAAAGAGAAUGAAGGUGAUAGAGAUGACUACCAUACAAGUCGGUAAGAGGGAAAAAAAACUCUGGACAUGGCCCCAAAGACAGAUAGUGAGUAAAGAAACAUCUAUUUAAGAACAUCUAUGACAAUUCAGUAAUAAAGGUGAGAGUCUGUAGUGUUUGAACCAAGACUUGUGUCUUGCUCCCUGUUCCCAGCUCAGUGAGGCAGAUACUCUGUUCCACACUACUACUUUCAAGAACACCAGACAUCUUCCUCUCAGCUCCAAGAGGGAGACUUUCUUCCCAGGAGGAGUGGAGCAUUGUUGUUUCCCUUUUCAUCCCCAGCUGCUUGUUACUAAGGUCAUGUCCUGGGUGGGUGCAUUUGAGAGGCGGAUAGGUCCCUUCUUCUACUCAGCCCCCACUCAUGGGACAGACUCUGCCUUGGGUGCCGCACACUAAAAUACUGGGGCCCGGUCAGUUUUGCCCUGACUUUGGAGCUGGUGGUUUCCCACUAAGAGAGACAAGCCAAGAGAACCCUGUGCUCCUGUUCUCACCUACCGAAUGCUGAAUUCCUAGAGCAUGGUGUCACUCAGAAGACUGCCAUUGUCCCUAUCCUUAAAUCCAGAACUUUGGCUCCGAAAUUUUGCCUUAGCAAGAGAAACAGGCCAAAAAAACAGACAGCUACUAAUUUCUUCCCAAGGCACUGACUUCAUUUGCAACAGAGUGAAGAAAUUCCAGGCUAAACUCAAUUUCAAGAAUAAUGGAGGUUGUGGUGAAGCCAUUUGGGAGGAGAUUCAAGCUACAGGCUAAACUAUAGGUCAGUUUAUUUCAAGGAGAGAACUAGGGAAUAAUUCAGGGAGGAGAAGUCCUGGCAUCAGAACAAAAUGAAAUGUUUAUCAGAAAUUGUUCCUUCAGAGGAGUCAUGUUUGAUUGGAUUCGUUUAUAGAACAAGUUAUGCCCCAGGGCAUUAUUAACAAAAUAGAUCAGCUAGCUGGUAAUUGGUAAAGUUUAACUUUUAGAGAUGAUUAGGGGAAAUAGAUGGAAAAAGUCCUACGAGUACCACUGUCAUCUCAGUGUGACUGGGCAUACCUGAAUUUGUACUACCCUGGGGAACAACAUCACAGGCUGACAUUAAGGGUAGGGAGAGAUUAACUUCACUAAAAUAAUCCAGUAAGUCACUAGACAAACAAACAAUAAUAAUAACAAGCCCAAUGGUAAGGGGUGGAAUAAUGUGCAGAGUUGCUACUAUAUAUUAUAUAAAAUUGCCAGUUUCCAAAAGAAAAUUAUGAG